rnacentral:rRNA from 1 species
UCCAAGGUGAACCUGCGGAGGGAUCAUUACCGAGUUAAGGGUAGCUUCGGCUGCUCUGACUUCCCAACCCUAUGAUUUGAUGUUUUUCUCAUGUAUCUUCCGGUCUCUGUUCCGACAUGCCGGAAGAUUACCAAUCAAACUCGUCUUGAAACUAUGUCGUCAUCAUUCAAUACCAUAAUUGAAUCAAAACUUUCAACAACGGAUCUCUUGGUUCUAGCAUCGAUGAAGAACGCAGCGAAAUGCGAUAAGUAGUAUGAAUUGCAGAAUUCAGUGAAUCAUCGAAUCUUUGAACGCACAUUGCGCCUCUUGGUAUUCCAUGAGGCAUGCCUGUUCGAGCGUUAUUAUAAACUCUUCAAGUUCUAGCUUGGUAAUGAAUUUUUGUCCCUUGACAAAUUCUAAAAUAUUUUUGUCUGUUGUAAAAAGCCUUUUGCUUUGACGUAACCAAUGACUUUGCGCUCGGCAAAUCUUUUACAACAAGUUUUUAUCUUCUUCCACAGUUUAACCUCGGAUCAGGUAGGAAUACCCGCUGAACUUAAGCAUAUCAAUAAGCGGAGGA